UGGCGGACGGGUGAGUAACGCGUGGGUAACCUGCCUCACACAGGGGGAUAACAGUUGGAAACGACCGCUAAUACCGCAUAACCCGCUGGUACCGCAUGGUACUGACGGAAAAGAUUUAUCGGUGUGAGAUGGACCCGCGUCUGAUUAGCCAGUGCAGGGUAACGGCCUACCAAAGCGACGAUCAGUAGCCGGCCUGAGAGGGUGAACGGCCACAUUGGGACUGAGACACGGCCCAAACUCCUACGGGAGGCAGCAG
rnacentral:rRNA from 1 species